CAACUUGAGAGUUUGAUCCUGGCUCAGAAUGAACGCUGGCGGCAGGCCUAACACAUGCAAGUCGAACGGGUCCUUCGGGACUAGUGGCGGACGGGUGAGUAACGCGUGGGAACAUACCCUUUGGUACGGAAUAGCCUCGGGAAACUGAGAGUAAUACCGUAUGUGCCCUUCGGGGGAAAGAUUUAUCGCCAAAGGAUUGGCCCGCGUUGGAUGAGGUUGUUGGUGGGGUAAUGGCCUACCAAGCCGACGAUCCAUAGCUGGUUUGAGAGGAUGAUCAGCCACACUGGGACUGAGACACGGCCCAGACUCCUACGGGAGGCAGCAGUGGGGAAUCUUAGACAAUGGGGGAAACCCUGAUC
rnacentral:rRNA from 1 species